AUGGACAACAUGUUGAUGGCAGGAGG
rnacentral:piRNA from 1 species